rnacentral:lncRNA from 1 species
AAAAAAAAGAAUAGGCAUGAAAAUUGAUAAAAUAAAUAUAAAGUAGGAAGGAUUAAUAGUGCAACGUUCUUUUAAAUAAUCUGAUAAAUAUUCAAAUUGCACAAACUAUUUCGAGCCUAAAUUUUGAAUACCCAUCAACUUAUCGAACAUGGCAUGCUCUAGAGACCCAACGAAUUAUUAGUGCUAACUGGCUGAACCGUUACGGAUAUAUUUAAUAUGAUUGAAAUAACAUCUCUUCAUUUUACCAAAGAAAAAGCGAAAAUGAUAAAAGCAUUUGGGAAUGAUAUGUUAUAAGUACUAUGCAACAUUUUGUGUAGGUUUAUGUGCAUUAAAACUAGGGAUGUCAACGGGUCGGAUUCUCGGAGGGUUUUCAAAAAUUCGAACCCGAAUUCAUCUACCAAACUCAAAAUUCUGAAUCAAAAUCAGACGAAUUUUAUGAGACAAAUUUCGAAACACGAAUCCUAACCCGAAAACCCGAAUAUGAAACAAUUAUUUAUCUUCACCAUAUUUCAAAACAUAUUAUAUUAAAUCUAAAUUUUCAAAAUACAAAUUCAUAUAACAUCAAGCAUUUAUAUAUAUAAUAUAAAGUCAAUUCAGGUUCAGGUCAGGUUCAAGUUCCGGUCAGGUACAGAUAAAAUCCAUAUUCAAAUUCAAAUUCAUCAAAUUUUUACUUUUAAUAUCUGUAUCUGAAACUAAAUUUGUUUAGCAUCAAAUAAAUCCGCUCUGUUUGGAUUCAGAUUCAAAUAAAAUUUAGGUACUUGUACCUAUUCACACAUCCCUAUUUUUGACACAUUGAAUGCUUU